AGUGAACGCUGGCGGUAGGCCUAACACAUGCAAGUCGAACGGCAGCACAGUAAGAGCUUGCUCUUACGGGUGGCGAGUGGCGGACGGGUGAGGAAUACAUCGGAAUCUACUUUUUCGUGGGGGAUAACGUAGGGAAACUUACGCUAAUACCGCAUACGACCUACGGGUGAAAGCAGGGGAUCUUCGGACCUCUCGCGAUUGAAUGAGCCGAUGUCGGAUUAGCUAGUUGGCGGGGUAAAGGCCCACCAAGGCGACGAUCCGUAGCUGGUCUGAGAGGAUGAUCAGCCACACUGGAACUGAGACACGGUCCAGACUCCUACGGGAGGCAGCAGUGGGGAAUAUUGGACAAUGGGCGAAAGCCUGAUGCAGCAAUACCGCGUGGGUGAAGAAGGUCUUCGGGUUGUAAAGCCCUUUUGUUGGGAAAGAAAAGCAGUAUGUGAAUACGUCGCUGUCUUGACGGUACCUAAAGAAUAAGCACCGGCUAACUUCGUG
rnacentral:rRNA from 1 species